GUCAGCGUCUGGGCGGACAGCUGCAGGAAAGGGAAGACCAAGGUUUGCUACUGUCCAAUCUGCCACCCUACCCUAUCUGUUCUCACCACAG
ensembl:miRNA